rnacentral:rRNA from 1 species
GAUGAACGCUGGCGGCGUGCCUAAUACAUGCAAGUCGAGCGAACGGACGAGAAGCUUGCUUCUCUGAUGUUAGCGGCGGACGGGUGAGUAACACGUGGAUCACCUACCUAUAAGACUGGGAUAACUUCGGGAAACCGGAGCUAAUACCGGAUAAUAUUUUGAACCGCAUGGUUCAAAAGUGAAAGACGGUCUUGCUGUCACUUAUAGAUGGAUCCGCGCUGCAUUAGCUAGUUGGUAAGGUAACGGCUUACCAAGGCAACGAUGCAUAGCCGACCUGAUAGGGUGGUCGGCCGCACUGGAACUUAGACACGGUCCAGACUCCUACGGGAGGCAGCAGUAGGGAAUCGUCCGCAAUAGGCGAAAGCCUGACGGAGCAACGCCGCGUGAGUUAUGAAGGUCUUCGGAUCGUAAAACUCUGUUAUGAGGUAAGAACAUAUGUGUAAGUAACUGUGCACAUCUUGACGGUACCUAAUCAGAAAGCCACGGCUAACUACGUG